rnacentral:rRNA from 1 species
GUAUCAUGGCUCAGGACGAACGCUGGCGGCGUGCCUAACACAUGCAAGUCGAGCGGGGGAACGAAUGGUAGCUUGCUACUGUUUGUUUCUAGCGGCGGACGGGUGAGUAACGCGUGAGCAACCUGCCUUUAUCAGGGGGAUAACGCAUCGAAAGAUGUGCUAAUACCGCGUAAGACCACAGCUUCACAUGGAGCAGGGGUCAAAGGAGCAAUCCGGAUAAAGAUGGGCUCGCGUCCGA